rnacentral:misc_RNA from 1 species
GAAAUGCGAUACGUAAUGCGAAUUGCAGAACUCAGUGAAUCAUCAAAUCUUCGAACGCAGACUGCGCUCCCGGGAUAUCCCUGGGAGCACGCCUCUUUCAGUGUCGACUAAACUUCAACUCAACGGCGUGCCGGCUUCGGUUGAACACGCGCAGUUGGAAAUUGAGCUGUCUCGCUUUUCACAGGCGAGUCGCUUUAAAGUUAUGGCACAUCUUCUCUCGCCAUCCAGUCUUUUGCCCCACCACACUGCCUCGUGCAGUGGUGAGGUCGAUGGAUACUUUUCACCUUGCGUGAAAUUCCGACGACCCUCUAGGUGGUUCAGCAAGCGAUUGCGAACUUGGAAGAGCUAAGAAGAUAGUGAUAAUCCAAAGUUUUGGAACUUCUCAUCACUAGACCUGAAA